UACGAAGGGGGCUAGCGUUAAUCGGAAUUACUGGGCGUAAAGCGUGCGCAGGCGGUUGUGCAAGACAGAUGUGAAAUCCCCGGGCUCAACCUGGGAAUUGCAUUUGUGACUGCACGGCUAGAGUGUGUCAGAGGGGGGUAGAAUUCCACGUGUAGCAGUGAAAUGCGUAGAGAUGUGGAGGAAUACCGAUGGCGAAGGCAGCCCCCUGGGAUAACACUGACGCUCAUGCACGAAAGCGUGGGGAGCAAACAGG
rnacentral:rRNA from 1 species